rnacentral:snoRNA from 1 species
AUUUGCUCUUAUCAUCCUCCAAUAAAUAGAUAAAUCUAUUAAUUGGACAGCCAUUUGAGAGCUAAAUUAAUGACAUGGUUAAUGGUUGUGAAAACAAAAUAAAUAAAUUGUUGUAACCCAUCAUGUCAACAUACUU